CUGGACAAGCCAGAAGCUUCAAAGAUUGAAACUAUUUUAAGGAAGUCUGACAAACCUAUAAAAUUGAUUUCCAAACUGUAUCAAGGUUUGAUAGAGGCUUUUCCUGAUGACACAAAACAUGUCAAAACAAAAAUGUGAGUUCGACCUGGGAGACACUAUUGACAAGGAUUAAUGAAUACAGACGUGUUUGAAUGCCAAGUCGUGUUCUUAAAUCUCAGACAUAAAUGACUGCAGUUUAAUACCAUCCACAGAACAUACUAUACUGAACAAAAAUAUAAAUGCAACAUGUAAAGUGUUGGUCCCAUGUUUCAUGACCUGAAAUCAAAUAUCCCAGAAAAGUUCCAUACGCACAAAACGCUUAUUUCUCUCAAGUUUUGUGUACAAAAAGUUUAUUUAACAGCUUGAUCAUUACACAGGUUCACCUUAGACUGGGGCCAAUAAAAGGCCACUCUAAAAUGUGCCAUUUGUCACAACACAAUGCCACAGAUGUCUCACAUUUUGAGGGAGUGUGCAAUUGGCAUGGUGACUGCAGGAAUGGCCACCAGAGCCUAUGGCAGAGAAUUUAAAUGUUUUUCUUCUCUACCAUAAGCCGCCUCCAACUUCGUUUUAGAGAAUUUGGCAGUACAUCCAACCGGCCUCAUAACCGCAGACCACGCCAGCCCAGGACAUCCAUAUCUAGCUCUUUCACUUGCGGGAUCGUAAAAGACCAGCCACCCGGACAGCUGAUGAAACUGAGGAGUAUUUCUGUUUGUACAGUAUGUAUGUAUGUAUUCAGAAAGAAUUCAGACCCCUUGACUUUUCCACAUUUUGUUACAUUACAGCCUUACUCUAAAAUUGAUUAUAUCGUCUUCCCCCCUCAUCAAUCUACACACAAUACCCCAUAAUGACAAAGCAAAAACGGUUUAUACAGUUGAAGUUGGAAGUUUACAUACACUUAGGUUGGAGUCAUUAAAACACAUUUUUCAACCACUCCACAAAUUUCUUGUUAAUGGCUGCAGGGGCAGUAUUGAGUAGCUUGGAUGAAAGGUGCACAGAGGUGCCCAGAGUAAACAGCCUGCUCCUCAGUCAUAGUUGCUAAUAUAUGCAUAUUAUUAUUAGUAUUGGAUAGAAAACACUCUGAAGUUUCUAAAACGGUUUGAAUUAUGUCUGUGAGUAUAACAGAACUCAUGUGGCAGGAAAAAACCUGAGAAGUUCCACUUCCUGUUUGGAUUUUUUUUCUGAGGCUGCUAGAUUUUCAACCAAGCUCCCAUUGAAAUUACAGCAAGAUAUGGAUGAGUUUUCACUUCCUACGGCUUCCACUAGAUGUCAACAGUCAAUAGAACUUUGUCUGAAGACUCUAAUGUGAAGGGGUGCCGAAGGAGACAGGAAUGAUUCACCACUGCCAUGAGGUGACCACGCAUUGAACACGCGCAUUCACCGGAGAGGCAGCUCCGUUCCAUCGCUCAACUGAAGUCAAUGUAAUUCUCCGGUUCUCUGAUUGAUGAAGGCAUGUCAUCCAGCAAAGGCAGCAGCGCAGUCAUCCUAUGAAGGAAGCGCUGUGACAUGGGUCAACAUCCCACUGCUGGUUGGACUGGAGGAUGGUACGGUGCUGGUGGAAAGCUAUGGCUGGCAACAACACCUGACUCUGACCAGACUCUGGCCACUGCCACAGAUCAAGCAGUACCAGCACUUCAGCUUUGAUGCCCUGGAGCCUGGUGUUGUUGUAGCCAAGGAGCGUUUGGACUCAGUCGGGACCAGGAUUCAGUUGUUGCGCAACGCUGACAAUCUUCCUCCCAUAGAUGGCCUGCCUGUACAAGCACCACCUGGACUGGACACAGCUAAACAAACUUAUAGUUUGAGAAGAUCAGGGAAUUUUGGGACGAAGAGGCUAUGGACAUCACAUGACCUGCACCAAAGUCAAGGGCAGGACAGAAACAGGCUCUCCGAAUAUAUAUUCCCUUGUUCAUGCGUGGUUUGGAAGGACCAGCUGCAGUGCCUCUUUUAUCCUGCUGCUCAGCCACUUUACCCCUGAUUGUAUGUCUAUAGCUAACUCGUCUAUCACUGAUAUUAUUAUUGUACAUACUGUAUAUUAUUUUAUUUAUAUUGGCACUAUCUAUUUCUGAUAUUGCUACUAUGCAAGUAACCAUUUGGCUGUACUGUUUAUACCUUCUGUAGAGACCCAUCCACUUAGCAAGAUGUGGCCAGUGGUGUAAAGUACUUAAGUAUUUUUGAGGGGUAUCUGUACUAAUUUACUAUUUAUAUUUUUGGCAACUUUUACUUCACUACAUUCCGAAAUAAAAUAAUGUACUUUUUACUAAA